GAUGAACGCUGGCGGCGUGCCUAAUACAUGCAAGUCGAGCGAACAGACGAGGAGCUUGCUCCUCUGACGUUAGCGGCGGACGGGUGAGUAACACGUGGAUAACCUACCUAUAAGACUGGGAUAACUUCGGGAAACCGGAGCUAAUACCGGAUAAUAUAUUGAACCGCAUGGUUCAAUAGUGAAAGACGGUUUUGCUGUCACUUAUAGAUGGAUCCGCGCCGCAUUAGCUAGUUGGUAAGGUAACGGCUUACCAAGGCAACGAUGCGUAGCCGACCUGAGAGGGUGAUCGGCCACAAUGGAACUGAGACACGGUCCAGACUCCGACGGGAGGCAGCAGUAGGGAAUCUUCCGCAAUGGGCGAAAGCCUGACGGAGCAACGCCGCGUGAGUGAUGAAGGUCUUCGGAUCGUAAAACUCUGUUAUUAGGGAAGAACAAAUGUGUAAGUAACUAUGAACGUCUUGACGGUACCUAAUCAGAAAGCCACGGCUAACUACGU
rnacentral:rRNA from 1 species